UCCCCCACCUGAUGCACUUGCCCCCUUCCCUGCAGCAAGCCACAAGUGCUGUACCCAGCCCCUCUGUCCCAUUGCUGGAGGCUGGAUCCAGUGUCCAGGAUGGCAUCACAGGAGCACAUCCCAGCCUGCACAAACCCCCUGGGUAACAGCCUGGGAAGAAGGUGCUGGUGGAUGUCUGAGUAUCAGAGACUAAGCAGCAGAGUGUGGGGUGCACAGGGAUGCAGCCUGGGCUGAUCCAGUGGGGACCCCUGACAUCCUCCCCCUUGUGAGCAUAGAAUCUGCCUGAUCCCAAACGCCAAGUGCUGCAAUCCACAAUUUUUAACCCCAGUUAGUGGAGCCCCCAAGAGGUGAACACUGCCACAAUCUCACAGAGUGUUUGGAGAGCAUCAGCAGGGUUUGGGGAGCAUCCCACCUGGAGGGGCAGGUCCACCCCUUCCCUCUGCUGCCAGUGAGGAGCAGAGGGAAGCUGAGACCCCUCCAGCUUCACCUGGGGGAGUGCAGAUGAGUUUGUGUUAAUUGGGAACAGCUGGAAUAGAGCCAUAUCCCCCUCACCUGGGAAACCAGAUAAAAGCCAGGGCUGGGCUGGGCUUCUGUGUUCUCUGCUGGGGUGCUGCUAGGUGAGGGGGGUUGGUGGGCCUGGGCCUCCUUAGAGAGGUUUCUGGGGACUGAGUGUUUGGGGCAGGGAAUGAGGUAACGUCUGAGCCCAGGGCUGGUUACAGUUCUGUGCUGCACUGGGAGCUUCCCAGGAGGUGCUAAGGAUUGGCACAGGCUUACCUGAGCUGGGAGGCUGCUGGGGAGGAGAAAGGUGUUUUAAUAAGGAGCUCUGGGGAUGGGAAGCUUGGGAAUGGGUCAGACAAAGGGUUGUAGGAGCUGUAGAGGUCCAUUCUAAAUCUUCUGCUGUCCCUCUCCACAACUGAGCUCCCCCAAGAUGAGUGGAGGGGUUGGACCACCAAGCCCCCUGGAUGCUGUUGCUGCCCUGCAGCCAGGAAUGAUGCUCAGUGCUGAGAGGGAAGGGACUGUGGGCACAGCCCUGUGUCCUGCUGCCCACAUACUGCCCCUGCCAGCAGGCUGUGGUGCAGAGCCUUCCUGCUGCUGGCUGUGUGUGUGCCACUGCUGUCCCCUACAGCCUGGGCACUCUGGCUGCUGUCACCUGGGAUCCCCUGGGCUCCUCAGCCUCCCAGCAAGGGCUAGGUGAGAGUCUGGUGACAGUGUGUGGGGACCUCCUCACCUCAGGCUGCUUCCCAGGGCUCCAAGGAGUUGUGACGUCUGGGCUAGAUGAGGGGGGACAGAGCCUGGGGAUGCGGACUGCGGCCACACAGACAUCUCAGACCUCCCUGGAGUGGUAGUCUGGAUCUGGGGACAGGGAAGGGCUCAGGCUGAGCACGGCUGUGACACUGUCCCCUGCACAGUGGCCUGGCAAAAGGGUUCCUGCUACCUCAUCUCUGCUCUUCCCGACUGAGGAUGUCCCCAGUCCUGGCUUCACCUUACUCAGGGGGGCCUCCACAGAGUAGGACCAGGCUCACAUGGUGCCACACAGAGACGGUCUGAGGCCACCUCCAGAGCAUGGAGUGAGCCAGCUGCUGGGCUCUCUGCCCCCUCCCAGGCAUGGCUGCACCUUCUUCCUUCCCCACAGCUGCUUCUGGCCCCUCUGCAGGGGCUGCAGUGAUGCAAGUGGCACCCACCCAACUCGUGCCAAUCCAAGGGCUGGCUGCAGACUCUCAGGUCCCACCUGAAGUUCCCACAUGGACACUGAUGGAUGCUGGCUCCUGGAGCCCAAGCACAGCAGAGCAGCUCGUGGCCUCUGCUCUGCCAACGCCAGGGACACCCAGCUUGGCUGAGCUGGACCCUAGCACCGUGCGGGUGCCCCCUGCCCUGACAGCUGAGGGGCUCUGGGUCACUGCUGGCACUGCCCUGUCUGGAAAAGCUGCUCCUGUGUCGGCCCAGGUUCCAGGAAAUGGGUCUGGACUCCUGGAUGCAGUCCUAGCAUCGCUUCCUACUACUGCAACAGCUCCUGGUGCCCACAGUAAGGGUGUGCUACCUUCCUCCCUUCUCACAGUGCAGUCUGGGGCUCCUGCAGUCACCUUGGGGACACAGAGUGAGCGGCCUUCUUCCCCUGCACAGCCAAUGUCCCCUGGAGCCUCCCCAGCUCAGACCAGGACUCCCAGCCCUGCAGGUCCCACCAUGACUAGGAUGAGCUCCACAACCACUGGUGUCAUCCCAGAGCUUGGACAGACGUUUGUGAUGGAAGAAUCCAGGACAGCAGCAGUGGGACCUGUUCCUGCUCCAGCAGGGACUCCAGGGCCCACCCCUGCCAGCCCAGGCUCUGUGCCCCACCCUUGCUCCACAAACCCAGCUCUGGAGUGUGGCUCUGAGCCUGGCCACCAUGCUGCCACCAGCAGCAGUGUGACAUCUCCAUCCUGUCUGCCGACUUCUCCUGGAGCUGGGCAUGCAGCCAGCUCCCUCCUCAGCUCCCAGAGCCUGGCUGUGCCCACAGGAGUGACCCUCGAUGCCCACAUCACGUCCACCAGCUCCAGCACUUCCCAGCACUCCUCCACUGCCAUGGAGCAUCUCCCUGCAGCCACCAGAGAGGCCUUCAGCCCAGCUGAGCUAAUGAAGGGCAAAACUGGCUCCACAGGGACAAAACCCCCUGCAUCCCACCCCUCCAGUCUCCCCUUUCCUGCUCAGCCUGUGCAUGUGCUGCCCCUGCAAUUCCGGCUGCUGGGCAUCACUUACACCCCAGCUCUGGGCAGCAGGAAUUCGGAGAGCUACCAGCAACUGGAGCAAGAUGUGAGACUGAUGGUGAGUGCUAGAGGUGCCUGGGACACAUUUGGGACUUUGGGGAGCAGGGAGGUUGCAGGUGGUGCUGGGGUGAGAAGCCUGUGUGCUGCAUUGGUUGGUUGAGCAUGGUGGAGGUGGGUAAAGCCCUGGCAUUCUCCACUGCAGCAGUUGGAGGUGGGAUUGGGCUCCUCACUUCUGCAGCCAGCAGGGCCAUGGCACACUGUGUUAUUGCUGGUACUCCCUCCCGGGAAUGUGGGUGGCUGCUCUGGCUAUCCCAGCUCAUCCACAGGCAUUCCCUGGUGUGCCAGUGUGCCCUCCCUUGGGCAGGCUGAGCUGACUUCCCUCUCUUUAUUGCCCACCUGCUCCUACAUCUCCCCUUCACAUGGAGGAGCUUGGAAAACCUUCUCAGUUAAUUACCAGGUGCUUCUUCCUUCCAGCUAAACCAGAUGCUGUCCCGCUAUGAGAGCUUCCUGCAGGCAAAUGUCCUUGAGUUCAUGAAUGGCUCAGUGGUGGUGCAAGGGGAGGCUCUGUUCCGGGGGGAUGCUCCUGCUCCCACCAACUCCCACCUCAUCAGGACAGUCGUCACAGAGGCAAGCAAGGGAAGGAGCAUUUUCAGCUGGCAGCUGGAGCCCCAGUCUGUCCAGUCUGGUGGUAAGUCCACAGUCCAGUGCUCUCCUUGUGCCUCUCUCAAAGCCAAAACCUGUGCAGUUUGGAUUCCAGGCUUUUCCUUCACUUAACAUCCCUUCUCCCUGGCCUGUGUAAAACCAUUGUGAGGAUGUUAAGGGUAGUGGAGGGCACAUCUGGAGCAGCUGGACCUGUGUGGGCCAGUGCUUCUGCUCGACUCCCUGGCUUCCCCUCUUUGUCCCAGCUCUCCUGUGCUGGAAAAUGGUACAACCCCUUCCUAAAUUCGAAGGAAUUCCUCCUCACUCAGCUGCCCUGCUGGUUUCUGCUUUUGGUGUGUGGCCAUGGAUGAGCUCAAGGCUGAACAGUGUCUCCCAAGGAAGCUGGAGGAACAAGUAUGAGCAUAACUCUUCUCAACUCCCUUAGGUUUCAGCCUGGAAAACCUGGACCCAGAGAAGCUGUCCAUUUCCCUGACUGCCUCCCAGCUUGGGAUGAGCAGGAUGGAUCCUCUGGAGAAGCUGGUCAGGGAGGUAUGCCAAGCUUGGGGGGCUCUUCUGAAGGGUGAUGCUGGGAGGAUGGGCACAGGCUGCUGGGGUGGUGGAAUAACCUGUGCUAAACAGGGGAAGGUGUGAACUGUUGUCUUUUCUCUGCCUAGAUAAUGUCAUCUGUCAGUGCCCUCUACGACGUGAGGAACUUCACCAUCUCCCAGAUCAGGUAUGGGAUGCAGCUUCUCCUCUGACAACAUCUUAAUUAACCUUCACCCUCUGCAACUAUUUAGCUGUGCUGCAAGGAUGGAGAGGAUGGGACAAGCUGGGAGGGGAUGUGCAACUGGAGCAAACUGCAAUUGAGCACCUUCUGUGGGCUGUCAGGGGAAAACCACCAGUAAAGGUGCUGGAGCUGGAUCCCAACCCCCCUGCCUUGCUCAGAGCUCUUCUCUCCCCUCAGAAGCCUCACUGGGAGCACAGAGAUCACUGGAGACCUCUACCUAGACACAGUUGUCCAUGCUGAUGUUGAGGAUGUUCUGGAAGCCCUGACUUUGCUCUCAGACCUCUCCAUGGACCGGGCCUCUGUCUCAGUGGAGGGUGAGCACAGUCCCUGAGUGUGGUGUGGGCAGGGUCACUGCUAAAUCUGCACACCUAACACUUGUUUCUUGUUCCUUCAGGGUCCAAGCUUGGUCUGUAGGUCUACCCCCUGUCUCUCCUGGUCACCAACAGACACUUCAGCCAGAAGCUUCAGGAUCCACUCUCUGAAGAGCACCACAGUCUCUCCAUGGACCUUGGCAAUGCGGUAGGAAUGGGGCUGGUGGGAAGAGGGAGGAUUAAGGCCCUCCUGGCAGGGUGAGAAGAACCAUGGCAGGAAGAGGGGCUGCUUUGGGGGGUCCAAACACCUC